UACGUCCCUGCCCUUUGUACACACCGCCCGUCGCUACUACCGAUUGAAUGGCUCAGUGAGGCCUCCGGACUGGCUCGAAGAGGUUGGCAACGACCACUUCGAGCCGGAAAGUUCGUCAAACUCGGUCAUUUAGAGGAAGUAAAAGUCGUAACAAGGUUUCCGUAGGUGAGCCUGCGGAAGGAUCAUUACCUAGAGUUGUAGGCUUUGCCUACCAUCUCUUACCCAUGUCUUUUGAGUACCUUCGUUUCCUCGGCGGGUCCGCCCGCCGAUUGGACAAACUUAAACCCUUUGUAAUUGAAAUCAGCGUCUGAAAAAACAUAAUAGUUACAACUUUCAACAACGGAUCUCUUGGUUCUGGCAUCGAUGAAGAACGCAGCGAAAUGCGAUAAGUAGUGUGAAUUGCAGAAUUCAGUGAAUCAUCGAAUCUUUGAACGCACAUUGCGCCCCUUGGUAUUCCAUGGGGCAUGCCUGUUCGAGCGUCAUUUGUACCUUCAAGCUCUGCUUGGUGUUGGGUGUUUGUCUCGCCUUUGCGUGUAGACUCGCCUUAAAACAAUUGGCAGCCGGCGUAUUGAUUUCGGAGCGCAGUACAUCUCGCGCUUUGCACUCAUAACGACGACGUCCAAAAAGUACUUUUUACACUCUUGACCUCGGAUCAGGUAGGGAUACCCGCUGAACUUAAGCAUAUCAAUAAGCGGAGGAAAAGAAACCAACAGGGAUUGCCCUAGUAACGGCGAGUGAAGCGGCAACAGCUCAAAUUUGAAAUCUGGCGUCUUUGGCGUCCGAGUUGUAAUUUGCAGAGGGCGCUUUGGCAUUGGCAGCGGUCCAAGUUCCUUGGAACAGGACGUCA
rnacentral:rRNA from 1 species